GCGAAUGUAGUUCAGUUGGUAGAACAUCAGCUUCCCAAGCUGAGGGUCGCGGGUUCGAAUCCCGUUAUUCGCU
rnacentral:tRNA from 1 species